AUACAUGCAAGUCGUGGGGCAGCACAGGUAGCAAUACUGGGUGGCGACCGGCAAACGGGUGCGGAACACGUACGCAACCUUCCUUUAAGCGGGGAAUAGCCCAGGGAAACUUGGAUUAAUACCCCAUAAGACAACAUUAUGGCAUCAUAGAGUUGUUAAAGCUCCGGCACUUAAAGAUGGGCGUGCGGCUGAUUAGGUAGUUGGCGGGGUAAUGGCCCACCAAGCCGACGAUCAGUAACUGGUGUGAGAGCACGACCAGUCACACGGGCACUGAGACACGGGCCCGACUCCUACGGGAGGCAGCAGUAAGGAAUAUUGGUCAAUGGACGCAAGUCUGAACCAGCCAUGCCGCGUGGAGGAUGAAGGCCCUCUGGGUUGUAAACUAUCUUUUAUAGGGGAAGAAACCGGACUUUUCUAAGGCCGUUGACGGUACCCUGUGAAUAAGCACCGGCUAACUCCGUGCCAGCAGCCGCGGUAAUACGGAGGGUGCAAGCGUUAUCCGGAUUCACUGGGUUUAAAGGGUGCGUAGGUGGGCAGGUAAGUCAGUGGUGAAAUCUCCGGGCUUAACCCGGAAACUGCCGUUGAUACUAUUUGUCUUGAAUAUAGUGGAGGUGAGCGGAAUAUGUCAUGUAGCGGUGAAAUGCUUAGAUAUGACAUAGAACAUCGAUUGCGAAGGCAGCUCGCUACACUAUUAUUGACACUGAGGCACGAAAGCGUGGGGAUCAAACAGGAUUAGAUACCCUGGUAGUCCACGCCCUAAACGAUGGAUACUCGACAUCAGCGAUACACGGUUGGUGUCUGAGCGAAAGCAUUAAGUAUCCCACCUGGGAAGU
rnacentral:rRNA from 1 species